AGUUAGUGCUGGGAAACAGUGCUAAGAAGGAUACAGUGGCUAGAAGUCGUCCUGUCGUCCUGCCUCACAGUAACAUCGUUACCGAAUUCUCAGCAGGUGAACCAAAUGAAAUGGUCAACUGAAAGCCAACCAGGGUAAAACAGAUCUUUUAUUUCUUGUUGUUGUUAUUAUUAUUUUUUUUUAUGUGGGGACAUUCAAGUGAACUGCUAUAUGCAUUUGCCCCCAGUCUCUCCUUGUGAGAAGUGAAUUUCUUCAACGUUUAUAGAACUGAGGUAUUACAUUAUUGGAUGAAUUAAGAAAACAAUCUAACCUGAUGUGUGAAAAUUUCUGCUUGUGAGAAUCCGUGUUAUUUCAAUUAUCCAAUCAAGAGCCUAAUUCGUAUAAAAGAAACACAGCAGCUUGUUGCUCAUCUUUUUAUCUAAGGACGGUUUGUCUUGACAGAGGGUGUCUGGCUGUUUUGGGGAAACUAUUCCUGACCUUAUUUUGACUAAAAAGUUGCCUGCUGUACCAGGGGCCUGUGAUGUGUUGAUAAAAUGCCACACAACCAUUUCUCAGUGAAAAGCCCAACCGGGACUUGAGUUAUGUUGGUGGCUAUGGAGUUCUGCAAUCCACAAUUGAUGUUCUCUAAUAACCAGUGACCUUGAGUGAACUGUCCCCAAGGCAAGAGCAACCACAGCUGCGGGGAGCGUUUGGCAAUCACUAUCCCCACCCAAGCUUCUCCCUUGGGGUCUUGUCCUGUCACUCUGGCUGGAAUACAAUGGCGUAAUCAUAGCUCACUGCGGCCUCCAUCUCCUGGGUUCAAGUGAUUCUCCUGCUUCAGCUUCCCAAGUAUCUGGGACUACAGGCAUGCAAAAAAUCACCAUGUACCAACCUAUCCAAACUUAUCCAUGGAUGAAUCUAUCCAGAAGACGGGAGUUCCGAUGCUUGUCUUGCUCUGAAUGUCUGCUUGUCACCUGCUUAGGGUUAUCGACUGUGAUUCUGGGACUCAUUGUUGUUCUACAGGACCCCUCUGACUCUGUGGUUUUCUCUACUGGAUUAACAAUGAUAGCCAUAGGUGCUUUUUUUGUUGUCCUCACUGGAGUGACAGCCCUGUGUACGGUUACAGUCGACGAGAACUUGCAGAAAACCACGAGGCUAAGACUAGGAGUGAUACGAAAAAGCGGAAGUCUCCAAGGAACUACAGAGCCUUCCAUGACUCACUCAAUAAUCGCUAGCACCUCGCUGUAGUUGUACAUUGAACCCUGGCAUCUUCGUCUUUGGAACUAAGUCUCCUGAGCAUUGUUUUUAAAUAGAAAUAAAAUCUGGCUUUUAAAAAAAC
rnacentral:lncRNA from 1 species